GACGAACGCUGGCGGCGUGCCUAAUACAUGCAAGUAGAACGCUGAAGAGAGGAGCUUGCUCUUCUUGGAUGAGUUGCGAACGGGUGAGUAACGCGUAGGUAACCUGCCUUGUAGCGGGGGAUAACUAUUGGAAACGAUAGCUAAUACCGCAUAACAAUGGAUGACACAUGUCAUUUAUUUGAAAGGGGCAAUUGCUCCACUACAAGAUGGACCUGCGUUGUAUUAGCUAGUAGGUGAGGUAAUGGCUCACCUAGGCGACGAUACAUAGCCGACCUGAGAGGGUGAUCGGCCACACUGGGACUGAGACACGGCCCAGACUCCUACGGGAGGCAGCAGUAGGGAAUCUUCGGCAAUGGGGGCAGCCCUGACCGAGCAACGCCGCGUGAGUGAAGAAGGUUUUCGGAUCGUAAAGCUCUGUUGUAAGUCAAGAACGGGUGUGAGAGUGGAAAGUUCACACUGUGACGGUAGCUUACCAGAAAGGGACGGCUAACUACGUG
rnacentral:rRNA from 1 species